rnacentral:lncRNA from 1 species
UAAAUUUCACAUGAGUGCUUUAGCAGAGAGAACCCUAAAUACUGCAGUGGUUUUCCCUAAAAGUACUUAACCUUCAGACAGCCCUGGGGAGUAGAGAUGGUACCUCAUGGAGCCAAUGCUUAAUAUAAAUCUUAAUAUUUCUCCUUUUUUGCUCCUCCCAUUUUAAAGUCAGGAGAAAAAAAAAAAAAAAGAAAAGAGAAACCUAGCCAAAAAAUGUUAAGGUUUGAUUUUUGGCUCUUUUACAAACAGAUGUUGCUUGUCAUUCUGCUGUUGUUAAGCAAGCGCCAGAUUGGACCAAGCAGCAGUGUGUGUGUGUGUGUGUGUGUGUGUGUGUGUGUGUGUGUGUGUGUAUGGGGGGCAGAGUGGGGAAUGAAUAUUAGAGGUAGGCAGAGGACUGGACAGCAAAAGAAAAAACUGAGUUUUGUACACAAGUGA